CAGCCGCCGCGGGAACACAGAGGGUGCGAGCGUUAAUCGGAUUUACUGGGCGUAAAGCGUGCGUAGGCGGCUUCUUAAGUCGGAUGUGAAAUCCCUGAGCUUAACUUAGGAAUUGCAUUCGAUACUGGGAAGCUAGAGUAUGGGAGAGGAUGGUAGAAUUCCAGGUGUAGCGGUGAAAUGCGUAGAGAUCUGGAGGAAUACCGAUGGCGAAGGCAGCCAUCUGGCCUAAUACUGACGCUGAGGUACGAAAGCAUGGGGAGCAAACAGGAUUAGAUACCCGAGUAGUCCCUGUCUCUUAUAC
rnacentral:rRNA from 1 species